AUAGUCUUUUAAUUGUAGACUUGUGAAUGGUUCAAUGAGGUGUGAUUAAGGUGAUAGUCUAUUAUCUGAAUUUAGUUUAGUGGUUAGGAACCCAUUGUUACAUUAUUAGACGGAAAGACCCCAAGAGCUUUUUUGUGUUAGAUUUGUUUGGGGUAAAUGUAGAUUAUUCAUUUAUUUUCAGAUCCUUCGUGGAUAAAGGAUAAAGUUACCUUGGGGAUAACUGAGUAAAGGGCAGGGAGAGGUCCUAUUGAUCUGUUUAUUACUACCUCGAUGUUGGCUUGUUGAACCUUUUCGGUGUAGAGGCUGGAAAAGGAAGUCUGUUCGACUUUUAAAUCUUCAUGAGUUGAGUUAAGACCGGUGUAAGCCAGGUUGGUUCUUAUCUAUAAUUGGUUCUAAUUAGUACGAAAGGAUUAUUAGGAUACAGUGUUUCUGUACACAUAGGAAUAGGAAGUAUACAU
rnacentral:rRNA from 1 species